rfam:Capsicum annuum cultivar Zunla-1 chromosome 9, whole genome shotgun sequence
UGGUGAUGAUCUGGACAGUCCCAAAGAAGAGCUUUGAAGCUCUCCCAUCCAUAGUAUAAGUUCUCAUCUAGCUUUUGUUUAAAGUGUAUAAUCUCAUUGCUCAGUAU